CAAGUUGGUAGAUUCGAUGGUGGAAGAGAAUUUUUCUUACUUCCGUGAGUUUUUCACUGAGAGUAAAGGUGGUCUGGAGAGAAUGUGGAAUUUGAAAGAAGAACUAAAAUAUCCUUAAGGCAUGAAAGUUUAUCCUUUCACCAGAGACUACAAUUAAUAUUUCAAGGCUGAAUUAGAUCUGCUCACCUAAAAUGGAACAGAAGGCCGCAAGGAAAACAUUGUCAGGAGAAGGAGGCAGGUCUCACCCAACAACUGGCCAGUGCCAUGGUGCAAAGGUUCAGGCCACUUUAGAAAAUCUCUGAAGGGUCAUCUCAACUCUAAAGCUUCCCACAUGAUUUUCGGAGCUUCUGUUGCAAUUACAUUACAGUCGAACUACUAACACUCUGAGAAAGUAGGAAUUGAUGC
rnacentral:lncRNA from 10 species